ensembl:lncRNA
CCUGGGAAAGCAUCCACUAAAAGAGCUGUGAAGUGUUCUAGGUACCCUUUAAGCCAGCCAGGGGGAACCAUGGAGAGAUGAGAUGGACUGGGAAAAAGGCAAGACAACUGUCCAGCCCUCCAAUUGAAUUACAUCCUCAAAACUCACGCUCUCGAGCCAGAGCCCUAAUCAUUGGGGGUCAACAGACAAGGUCACUGCUGUCUUCCUGUGUGCAGCCCAGGACCCUUCCUCAGGUUGCUGUGGGGUCGAUGGAGGGCAUCGUAGUGACCAAGCCCUUUCAGAUUGUGACUCGCUGGUCCUGGGCCCACCCUGUCCCACCUCUCAAAGACCUGUGUGGGGAGAAGUUGAAGAAUCAAGUUGGGUCUCACAGGAUGACCUGCCAAACAGGACGUGACCAGCAAUGGCCCCAGCCUUUGACCAGGGUUCCAUCUUCUUAUAGAAUAUUCUUCCCACUCUUGUUAUCACGAGUGAGGCCUGAUCCGUACUGGCUGUCCAUCCUCCCAAAGUGACCACAUUGCGAUGACUCAUCCGGUCAACUUCACAAAAGAGCUGAUGUCCUGGAUGCUCCUUGAACGAAAGCCAACCACCUUGACCUAUGUAACAAAGAAUUUCGUUUCCACUGGUCAGCCAACUUGAAAAUGAGUUGCCAGCCUAAUUCACGAUCCAGCCUUAGUUCAUGAUUCUUUUUUGAUGAGAACAGAUCCUUAUGUUUGUACUUGUUUUAGAGGGGUUUUUUUUUUUCCCCUUAAGUUGCUUCUCUUUUUAAGCACAUAAAAUGUAUUUCAACACAAGAAGUAUAAUCAAGGGCUACAUAAUGUUCCAGCUAAGUUUCUCUUUUGAAGUGAUAACCCAGCAUUGCUACACAGAACUGACUGCAUGGCAGAGUAAAUGAUGUUCCUCGUGGCCCAGCCGUGUCAGUCUCCAGCCUAAGCAUGUACGCUGGCCCGAACACACAUCACCACUGACAAACAGCUGCCAAGAUCGAGAGUACCCCAGUAAGUGGUAGGAUCCUUGUAGCAACAAAGCUGGUGCCAAUAGAUGGAAGUGAUGGAAUCAGCGGUCAUUAAAUGUGCCUCCACUAAGAACACUUCAAUUCUCCAUCCUAGUAUAUCAUAAAGAAGACGGAUGUAUCUCUUCGACAUGGAUGUACAGAACAGACUUUUGGACUCUGUGGGAGAGGGUUAGGUGGGAUGAUUUGGAAGAAUGGCAUUGAAACAUGUAUACUAUCAUGUAAGAAACGAAUGGCCAGUCUAGGUUCGAUACAGGAUACAGGAUGCUUGGGGCUGGUGCCCUGGGAUGACCCAG